rnacentral:rRNA from 1 species
GGUGAACGCUGGCGGCGUGCUUAAGACAUGCAAGUCGAACGCAGUCUUCGGACUGAGUGGCGCACGGGUGAGUAACACGUAACUGACCUACCCCCAAGUCGCGAAUAACCAGCCGAAAGGAUGGCUAAUACGUGAUGUGAUGAUCCGCUGUGGCGGAUCAUUAAAGACUUGAUCGCUUGGGGAUGGGGUUGCGUUCCAUCAGCUAGUUGGUAAGGUAAAGGCUUAACAAGGCAACGACGGAUAGCCGGCCGGAGAAGGUGGCCGGCCACAGGGGCACUGCGACACGGCUCCCACUCAUACGGGAGGCAGCAGUUAGGAAUCUUCCACAAAGGGCGCAAGCCUGAGGGAGCGACGCCGCGUGAGGGAUGAAGGUUCUCGGAUCGUAACCCUCUGAACCAACGACGAAAGACCCGACAAGGGAGAUGACGGUAGUUGGGUAAUAGCACCGGCUAACUCCGUGCCAGCCGCCGCCGUAAAAC